rnacentral:rRNA from 1 species
UACGGAGGGUGCGAGCGUUGUCCGGAAUCACUGGGCGUAAAGGGCGCGUAGGCGGCGCGGAAAGUCAACGGUGAAAGCUCGGGGCUCAACCCCGAGUCGGCCGUCGAUACUUCUGUGCUUGAGCACUGUAGAGGCAGGUGGAAUUCCGGGUGUAGAGGUGGAAUGCGUAGAGAUCCGGAGGAACACCAGUGGCGAAGGCGGCUACCUGGACCAGCACUGACGCUGAGGCACGAAAGCGUGGGGAGCAAACAGG